rnacentral:rRNA from 1 species
CCUACGGGUGGCAGCAGUGAGGAAUAUUGGUCAAUGGGCGCGAGCCUGAACCAGCCAAGUAGCGUGAAGGAUGACUGCCCUACGGGGUGUAAACUUCUUUUAUAAAGGAAUAAAGUGAGGCACGUGUGCCUUUUUGUAUGUAGUUUAUGAAUAAGGAUCGGCUAACUCCGUGCCAGCAGCCGCGGUAAUACGGAGGAUCCGAGCGUUAUCCGGAUUUAUUGGGGUUAAAGGGAGCGUAGAUGGGUUGUUAAGUCAGUUGUGAAAGUUUGCGGCUCAACCGUAAAAUUGCAAUUGAUACUGGCAGCCUUGAGUACAGUUGAGGUAGCCGGACUUCGUGGUGUAGCGGUGCACUGCUUUGAUAUCACGCAGAACUCCGAUUGCGAAGGCAGCCUACUAAACUGCCACUGACAUUGCUGCUCGAAAGUGUGGGUAUCAAACAGGAUUAGAUACCCUAGUAGUC